GAUCAUGGCUCAGAUUGAACGCUGGCGGCGUGCUUAACACAUGCAAGUCGCGCGUGAAAGGACUUCGGUCCGAGUAAAGCGGCGCACGGGUGAGUAACGCGUGGAUGAUCUACCCAUGAGUUAGGAAUAACGGCUGGAAACGGUCGCUAAUACCAAAUACGCUCCGAUUUCAACUUCGGGGGAAAGGUGGCCUCUGCUUGCAAGCUACUGCUCAUGGAUGAGUCCGCGUCCCAUUAGCUAGUUGGUGGGGUAACGGCCCACCAAGGCGACGAUGGGUAGCCGGUCUGAGAGGAUGACCGGCCACACUGGGACUGGAACACGGCCCAGACUCCUACGGGAGGCAGCAGUGGGGAAUAUUGCGCAAUGGGCGAAAGCCUGACGCAGCGACGCCGCGUGAGGGGAAUGAAGGUCCUCGGAUCGUAAACCUCUGUCAGGAGGGAAGAACCGCCACGGUGCUAAUCAGCCGUGGUCUGACGGUACCUCCAAAGGAAGCACCGGCUAACUCCGUGCCAGCCGCCGC
rnacentral:rRNA from 1 species